CCGGGGAUAACAGGUUAUAGUAUAUAUAGAGCUCUAAUCUUUAUAUACUAUUGGCACCUCCAUGUCGUCUCAUCGCAGCCUUGCAAUAAAUAAUAUC
rnacentral:sRNA from 1 species